UGAGGAAUAUUGGACAAUGGGUGAAAGCCUGAUCCAGCCAUCCCGCGUGAAGGAUUAAGGUCCUAUGGAUUGUAAACUUCUUUUAUACAGGGAUAAACCUCUCCUCGUGAGGAGAGCUGAAGGUACUGUAUGAAUAAGCACCGGCUAACUCCGUGCCAGCAGCCGCGGUAAUACGGAGGGUGCAAGCGUUAUCCGGAUUUAUUGGGUUUAAAGGGUCCGUAGGCGGACCGGUAAGUCAGUGGUGAAAUCCUACAGCUCAACUGUAGAACUGCCAUUGAUACUGUCGGUCUUGAGUGUAGUUGAGGUAGCUGGAAUGAGUAGUGUAGCGGUGAAAUGCAUAGAUAUUACUCGGAACACCAAUUGCGAAGGCAGGUUACCAAGUUACAACUGACGCUGAUGGACGAAAGCGUGGGGAGCGAACAGG
rnacentral:rRNA from 1 species